AUACGGAGGGUGCAAGCGUUAUCCGGAAUCAUUGGGUUUAAAGGGUCCGUAGGCGGGCGAUUAAGUCAGAGGUGAAAUCCCACAGCUCAACUGUGGAACUGCCUUUGAUACUGGUUGUCUUGAGUUACAGUGAAGUAGAUAGAAUGUGUAGUGUAGCGGUGAAAUGCAUAGAUAUUACACAGAAUACCGAUUGCGAAGGCAGUCUACUAACUGUAUACUGACGCUAAUGGACGAAAGCGUGGGGAGCGAACAGGAUUAGAUACCCCAGUAGUCC
rnacentral:rRNA from 1 species